CCAUAUUAGUUACGUCAACUAUCCCAAUAAAAUCUUUUUCGUUGAGUGUUAGAUGACCUUUGUUGGAAGAACAAAUCAGUUUUCUUUCUCCGGGAGUUUGAUUUCUACCCUGUGAGCAAUCCACUACACUUAAAAGCUCUCAUUAUUCAUUUAUAAUUAGCAUUGUUGUGAAUUUGUCUAUUAUGCUGUGGGUGGCUUGCAGAAGUACAUGGCAAACCUUUGCCCGGGAUUAUGCUUUGCCUGCAACCGGCAAAGGAUGAUGUGGGGGAACGUCCCCGGUAAACACUUGCAGUGCUGUGGCAUUUGUAAACAAGAAGUUAAACAAAUUGGCAGAUUCAAUCACAAAUGUGUGGUGUGCAAUAUGGUAGUGCACAAAAUCAAUUUAUUCAUUUCAAAUCGAUUCUCCCAGCCUGUAUAUGAAGAUCUCCCCAUCCCCGAAUUUGAGGAGUUCCCUCCGUUGUAAUAUUCUAAUAGACCAAAUCUAGAUCGAGUAAAUUUCCCUUGACAUGCCUAAUAGAUAUAUUACUGUGACGCAAUAUAUGAAAAAGUCUGGGAUGGAAUUCCCAGCAAAAUCAUUAGCAGUGCCAGUAACCGUGAAAGAAGCUUCAAAUGCACCAGAAGCAUUUACUUUUUAUACACAUUUCUUUGACUAUUCUAUUUUUAACGUACAGAUAGCAUAACAGGUAUGCGCAUGGUUGAAUUUCACAAGGAAUCGAAAAUGAAAAUGUCGAGCAACUGCACAGAUGCAUUGCAAAUGACCAGCAACUUUUAUAAUAGUCUAUUCACAACUAGCAUUUGCGUAAAUCACCUAGUUGCCUAGUUUCAGUUUCAAAUAAUAAUGAUCAACUACCGUUGUAAAUGCUCUAACCAUUACAAUUAGCAAAACACUUGAGCAAUAAUUAAAAAGGAAAAUACCAAUAAGUUGACCUUCUUUAUCUGCCUUAUUUCUAAGAUCUGAACACUUGUUUUGAGCCUGUUGUGUAGAAUUGCCAAUUACGACCAGCG